rnacentral:misc_RNA from 1 species
AGUUGAAGAAGAAUACAAGGGUGUUGAAUGUGGACAUGGAGGACCAUUCGGUGCUGUUGUUGUUCGUAAUGAUGAAAUAGUUGUAAGCUGCCACAACAUGGUUCUGAAAAACACUGAUCCAACUGCUCAUGCUGAAGUUACAGCUGUUAGAGAGGUUAGGUUUCAAAAUUAUCAUAUUCACUUGGUUUUUUCCUUGGUAAUUAAUGGUGUGAAAAAUCUGCAUGAUAGCUUGCCAUAGAAUUGGCGGCAUCAAAUGCAAUGCCAAUUAUGCACCAUUUUGUUUUUUGUUUUAAUCCAAGAAUUCAUGUUUCUUUUAGGCAUGCAAGAAGCUCAACAGAAUUGAGCUCUCAGAUUGUGAAAUAUAUGCUUCCUGUGAGCCAUGUCCAAUGUGUUUUGGUGCCAUCCAUCUUUCAAGAAUUAAGGUCUAAUGUCUGGAACUCGAACCCUCUAACUUUCACUCGCUAUCUUGGGAUAUUCAAUGGAUUCCAAUUUCUUUUUCUGAUACCUUAGUGUUUCUGUUAUUUUGCAACAGAGGUUGGUUUAUGGAGCCAAAGCUGAAGCAGCUAUAGCUAUUGGAUUUGAUGAUUUCAUUGCUGAUGCUUUAAGAGGUACUGGGUUUUAUCAGAAGGCUCAUUUGGAGAUCAAGAAAGCUGACGGAAGUGGUGCUGUUAUCGCAGAACAAGUGUUUGAAAAGACAAAAUCCAAGUUUACCAUGUACUGAUUGUUGAUUGUAUGAAAAUUUAACCAUGUACUUACCAAAAUUGGUCGUCUCCUUUUACAAUAAAUUCUCAACAAGCCUUAUUCUACAAAUAUUUAAGAAUGACUUGGGUGUAGUCAUGUUAUUUUUCUCCAUUCAGAAAUGGAGAACCAAUAUUGGAAAUCUAUGCAAAGAUAAAACUAAAACUGUGCUACCGGUCAAUUAGGGCAUCAUUCUAUGAAAAAUGGCAAACAUGCAUGUCUGUA